rnacentral:ncRNA from 1 species
CCCGAAACCAGACGAGCACCUCUGAACACUCUUUACAGGAUGAACUCAUCUAUGUUGCAAACUAGUGAGAAGAUUUGGAGGUGGAGGUGAAAAGCCUCACGGGCCUGGUGACAGCUGG